UAGAAAGUGGUGUAGUGGAAGCACCAAGAGUUCUGAUCUCUUGAGGAUGGGUUCGAGCCCCUUCUCUCUAG
rnacentral:tRNA from 1 species